rnacentral:rRNA from 1 species
CCUACGGGAGGCAGCAGUGGGGAAUAUUGGACAAUGGGGGCAACCCUGAUCCAGCCAUGCCGCGUGUGUGAAGAAGGCCCUCGGGUUGUAAAGCACUUUCAGUGAGGAAGAACGCCUGGAGGUUAAUACCCAUCAGGAAAGACAUCACUCACAGAAGAAGCACCGGCUAACUCCGUGCCAGCAGCCGCGGUAAUACGGAGGGUGCGAGCGUUAAUCGGAAUUACUGGGCGUAAAGCGCGCGUAGGUGGCUUGAUAAGCCGGUUGUGAAAGCCCCGGGCUCAACCUGGGAACUGCAUCCGGAACUGUCAAGCUAGAGUGCAGGAGAGGAAGGUAGAAUUCCCGGUGUAGCGGUGAAAUGCGUAGAGAUCUGGAGGAAUACCAGUGGCGAAGGCGGCCUUCUGGACGGACACUGACACUGAGGUGCGAAAGCGUGGGUAGCAAACAGGAUUAGAUACCCUAGUAGUC